UACGAAGGGGGCUAGCGUUGCUCGGAAUCACUGGGCGUAAAGCGCACGUAGGCGGAUCUUUAAGUCAGGGUGAAAUCCUGGAGCUCAACUCCAGAACUGCCUUUGAUACUGGGGAUCUCGAGUCCGGAAGAGGUGAGUGGAACUCCGAGUGUAGAGGUGAAAUUCGUAGAUAUUCGGAAGAACACCAGUGGCGAAGGCGGCUCACUGGUCCGGUACUGACGCUGAGGUGCGAAAGCGUGGGGAGCAAACAGG
rnacentral:rRNA from 1 species